rnacentral:lncRNA from 1 species
CUGAGGCCGGGACACCGGCACCGCCAGCGCCGCUGCAGUUCUGCGCACGGCUUCUGGAGGUUGAGGAGAAGGUGAUGUGCUCCGCAGGCUGGAGGCGCGUGGAUGGAGUAGACCGAGGAGCGUGGGUUGGAAUCAAGGAGAGAGGUGUGUUGGUCCGAAUGGCACACACUUGGCAGCUGGGAGAGCAAAAGAGGGACUGAGAAUGUGCCACUGGAUCCUGCAGCUGGAGAGUUCUGUAGGCCUACUGGCCUUGGAUUAAACAACCCAGGAGGCCAGGCUCCGUUUGGGGAACUCAGAGGGGCCCUGAUGGUUAAGAGCACAUUUUCGGAGGAAGAUAGAUCCUGCCUCCUCCACCCAGCGGCUUCAUGAAUCUAAGCAAGUACCUCUCCUCUUUGGGCCCCAAUCGCUCAUCUGUAAAAUGGAGCAAGGAUAACACCUCUUUAGUAGAAACAAGCUAGCUGUUUACUUGGCCCAUUUUCUUUUCCUUGCGGGCACAG